CCCAGCCGCAAUACACAAUAGUCCCCUCAGCUGCUGAACUUCAUUUUCUUCACACCUUGAGCAACGAACAAACAAAAAAAAAUAGACCCCAUCAACGACCAAGAUCUUUUAACCCACAAUACAAAUCAGCCGUGAACACACACACAGAAUGCCCUCUCCUGAACUUCUUCUUCAAAGAAAUUUUCUCUUUAAAUUUCUAUUAAAACUCAACUGUCAAUAUUACCCCACCAUAUUUUAAAACCUAAAGAGAAACCCUCUCCUUCAUACAACAUAAAACACUAGAGAUGUAGGACCCCAGCAGCAAUACACAAUAGUCCCCUUAGCUCUUGAGCUUCAUUUUCUCCACACGUUGAGCAACGAACAAACACAAAAAAAUAGACCCCAUCGACGACCAAGACCUUUUAACCCACAAUAUAAAUUAGCCGUGAACACACACAGAGAAUGUCCUCCCCUGAACUUCUUCUUCAAAGAAAUUUUCUCUUUAAAUUUCCAUUAAAACUCAAGUGUCAACAUUAAACCACAAGGAAACUCAAAAAUCGGCCAAGAACUCUAGCUUUGAAAUGCAACGAAACAGUCCUAAAAAGAAGCAGAAUUAGCUGUAAAACUCGACUGAAAUCGAUCCCAAAAUCAGAUCUAAACAACUACCAAAUUUGUCACCGUCGAGAUUUGGGUUUUUCUGUCGAGUUUAGAAAGCCGUGUUCGAGUUCCCAUUGCCGUCGAUGCUUCUUUUUUCUUGCGGUCUCUAAGGCUCCUCUUUUCUACUUUGAAGGUUCAUCCUUAACUUUAUCUCUUAGCUUGAAUAGUUUCAGUUUUGACUAUAUUUCGGAUCUUAUUUUUGUUAAUAUUUGUAGCUAUUUUGUUAUUCAUGAUUCAUUAGUUAAAUUAGUACAUGUGUUAGAAUAGUUUUGUCUAAUGUAAUCCUAAGUUUAUGAAUGUUAAUUUGAAAUGAAAUACAUGCUGUUGAUUAUUGAAAUAUGGACAAUUCUCACAUUUUUAUUUGGCCUCGUAUUCGAAUUUAAUAAUUCACUCCAUAGUUUAGCUUGUGCUUAUUUAUUUCAAUUAUAAUGUAAGUAUAGUGAAGUAUGUUCUCUUUUCUGUUAGGCUAAAUUUCGGCAAAACUAUGUGGAUAUGGCUUGUUUAGGCAGGGACAUUGUUGAUGCAGUAGUUCCAAUUCUUGUGACAUUUGGAGAAGAGCAGCGUCUCUGGUUUCGGGUUUACGGAUGUUUCCAUUUUUCUUCUCCAAUGUUGAAUUCUGCUUCUGUAAUGCUAACUCUGAUUCAUACACAUCCAUCCAAACUAUCCGAGAUUAUCGUUUUGUUCACCCAUUUUGCAUAGAGUUCAUUAAUCUCAAAAUGUUAGGAAAAUAUUUAACAUCUUAGCUUGUUGUAGGCAUGAUUUAAUAUAUUGUCGUGAUUGUGUACACGUCCUCGUGACAUAAUUAAGAUUUUAAAAAUAAAAUCAAAGUAUGCAUUUUAGAAACUUCGACUAAACUUUCUUUAUAAUAACAAAGCGUUACUAAUUGUGGACAUAUUUGCGUGACGUGAUUUGUGAUGCUCCAAACAAAUGGGUAUACGUAUGUGUGACUCGCUUUAGGAUAAUUUCUUAAUUAAUAGAGGUAAAUGCACAUAGAUUCUAAAAUAAGUAAUUAGACAAUUUAAUUAAGCCAAAUAUUAUCAAAGCGACCGUGCUAAAACCGUAGAACCCAAGAUUGCCUAACACCUUCUCCCAGGUUAACAAAAUUUCUUGCCCCAAUUUUAUGUUCAUUGACCAUAAAUAAGAGUCAAAAUCUUCCUCGAUUCGGGACCGGUGACAUGGGACACCAUAAAUUAUCCCAAGCGGUGACUCUGAUUUUAAUAUGAAUAAUCCUGUUUUGAUUGUCACAUUAAUUAGAAAAAACUCCCUUAUAUAUAUAUGCUUUUAUGGGGGUAGUAAUAAAGAGGUGUGACAGCUAUGAUUAUGGAACUAGAUGUCGCUCCACCUGCUCAACCAGCUUGAGGUGGAUGUCGGGGAGGUAGAGGUUACCCUAGAGGGAGAGGCCAGGCUAGAUACUAUGCCCUUCUUGCUUGUACAGAGGUUGUUUCUUCCAAUUCUGUCAUUACAUGUAUUGUUCUGGUUCGUCAUAAAGAUGCAUCGGUUCUAUUCGAUCCAUGCUUCACUUAUUCCUAUGUGUUCUCUUAUUUUGACCCGUAUUUGGGCGUAUCUUGGGAUUCUUUGAGUUACCGUGUUUAUGUGUCUAUUCUUGCGGAAGAUUCUCUUGUUGUGGAUUGCUUGUAUGGGCCAUGUUUGAUUACUCUUAGUGAUUUUGAGAUCACAGUCGAUUUAUUAUUGAUCAGCAUUGUAGAUAUUUAUGUUAUCUUGGGUAUGGACUGGUUGUCACCCCAUUAUACAAUUCUUGAUUGUCACGCUAAGACCAUGAUGCUCUCUAUACACAGUGUGGUAGUUAGAGUAGAUUGGUACCUUAGAUUUCACUCCUAGAAGAUUUAUUUCAUUUCUUAAAGCUUAACGAAUGGUUGAGAAGGGGUGUGAUGUGUAUCUAGCCUAUGCAAAAGAUGUCAGUAUUGAAACUCAUAUAGUUGAGUUAGUCCUAAUAGUGAGGGAUUUCCCCGAUGUGUUUCCAGCAGAUCUUCUAGGCAUGCCCCUCGACAAAGAUAUUGAUUUUGGCAUAGAUUUGUUGCUUGGCACUCAUCCCAUCUAUAUUCCUCCUUAUCAUGUGGACCCUUCUAAGUUGAAGGAGUUGAAAGAAAAGUUGUAGGAAUUGCUUGAUAAGGGCUUCAUUCAGCCCAAUGUGUCACCUUGGGAUAUCCCUAUCUUAUUUUUGAAGAAGGGUGGUUCUAUGCUUAUGUGCAUUGAUUAUCACUAGUUGAACAAAGUUAAAGUGAAGAAUAGUAUCAUUUGCCUCGUAUUAAUGAAAUAUUUGAUCAGUUAUAUGGUGGCCAAGUAUUUUCCAAGAAUAAUUUACAUUUAGGUUUUCAUCAGUUGAAGAUUCGAAAGCUAGAUGUCUCGAAUAUUGAUUUUAGGACUCGGUAUGAUCAUUACGAGUUCCUUGUGAUGUCCAUUGGGCUGACCAACACCCCAACAACAUUUAUGCAUCUGAUGCACAGUAAUUUUGGCCUUAUCUAGAUACUUUCGUCAUUGUAUUUAUUAUUGGUGUACUUUCAGAGUCGUGAAGAUCAUGAGCACCACCUGGG
rnacentral:lncRNA from 1 species